ACUCAAAUGAAUUGACGGGGGCCCGCACAAGCGGUGGAGCAUGUGGUUUAAUUCGAUGCAACGCGAAAAACCUUACCUGGAUUGGAAGAUGCCGGACAGACGUAGAGAUACGUCCUCGUAGCAAUACGCCGGUAGUUAGGUGCUGCAUGGCUGUCGUCAGCUCGUAUCGUGAGAUGUCGGGUUAAGUCCCUUAACGAGCGCAACCCUUAUCUUUAGUUGCCACCAUUCAGUUGGGCACUCUAGAGAGACUGCCGGUGUUAAACCGGAGGAAGGCGGGGAUGACGUCAAGUCCUCAUGGCCCUUAUGUCCAGGGCUACACACGUGCUACAAUGGCCGGUACAGAGGGUUGCCAACCCGCAAGGGGGAGCUAAUCUCAGAAAGCCGGUCUCAGUUCGGAUUGAAGUCUGCAAUUCGACUUCAUGAAGCUGGAAUCGCUAGUAAUCGCAGAUCAGCACGCUGCGGUGAAUACGUUCCCGGGCCUUGUACACACCGCCCGU
rnacentral:rRNA from 1 species